GCCUCCUGCUGGCUUUUCUCUGACACAAAAAAAUCAUAACAUGAGUUAUUUGUGGUUUCAACAGUGGAUUUGCGUGAGUGUGUGUUACCCAGCGCAAGUGUCUUCCUCAGAUAGGCGAUGUCGUCAAAGCUCUGCAGUUCAGGCAUCCCACAGCCAAGCAGCAGCGAGAACAAGUUGAUGAAGAGGCUGGCGUGCUGACGGAUUGCCAGGUACGCUUUGUAACACAUCUCCUGGAACCUGAGACGCGGUGAGACAGGUGGGACAAGUGAGAGAUCUCUCCAACUCUGGUUUUGACGGGGGAGGACAGCAGACAGGCACACAGGUGGGACAAGAGAGACCUGUCGAACUCUUUUGUCUUGGUUGACUCCUGGACUCCUUUGCUGAUGACAAUCAGGAAGUCCUGUGUUAGCACGAAAGGAACACGUUCCCGCUUGUAGCCGAACUUCUUCUUCUUGUGGUCCAGGAAAUGACCAAAGUCGAUGUGGAAGAGCUGCAGUAAGUCAGGUCAGAGUUUGUACAGGAAGCUGUGCAGGGGGACAUCAGGAACCGUACACCCACCUGCCCGUUCUCCUUCACCAUGAUGUUAGAGUUGUGGCGGUCACCGAUUCCCAGAAUGAAUGUCGCCACGCAAUAACCUGCACAAGACCUGGUGAACAAGUCGAUGGCUCGAUCGUACCUGAGAGAAAUACGGAGAGACAGGUUACAGGUACCCUGACAGGUCAACAGGAAGACGGGCAGAUACUGACGCCUCUCCACGGUUUUUGUCUUUAAUCCAGUGGUGCAGAGUGUUUGAGUUGAACUGCAGCGCCCCCUUCAGGCCUCCUUUGCACUGAAUCUGCAUGAUAGUGAAACUGUUCUUCACCACCUCGAUGAGACCCACACAGUCUCCAAUGGACAGACAUCCAUAUGGGAGCAUCCUAAGAGACAGACACAUAGAGUACAUACUGUACAGUGAGGCUCAUAUGUGAUGAUGUUUUCACUGAUGAGGUCACUGGUCUCACCGCAGGUCUAGACCUUGGUUCUGCCAGAUGUUCUCCAUGAUCUUGAUGAUCUGCAGUGUCAGCAUGUCCUGCCGCAAGUCUGCAACACAAGAGCCUCAUUACCCACAAUUCCCAGGGGCCCAUUGUGCUGUGACCAUGCUUCUAACACCCCGUAGAAAAGGUUCUACCAUCUCCAUUCUUGAAGAUGAUCUCAUUGUUGGUGAAGAGCAGUUCAGACAUGAUGUCAGGGUUCUCCCAAUUUAACCACAAGGGGCGCUUUGCUGAUGACAUGAUCCUACACUCCUCCAGCCUGGAAACACAUAUCGGUUGGCAGUGUUGAAGUAGGGUGACCACUGUCUUACCGUAGCAUAGCAUUGUUUAUUAGCCUAGCAGAACCAUGGGUGUGUGUCACCUGAGGUGUCCCAGCUGGUGCACUGGGUUCAGAGGAGAGACAAAUCCCUGCAGAGCUUCCAUGUAAUCUGGACGGGACAUAUGUUCAACCAGGAACUUCAUCUGAGUCUGACAACCAAUCACAGAAUUGCAGAGUAUCUGUGAGGUUCACCAGUUUAUCCAUGGCCUCCACCUGCAGAAACACAUGCAGUGGCUUCAUGAUAAUCCGCCAAUCCGUGUGUGAAUGACCAUGCAACAGAGGAGCUCACCUGUCGGUUCAGGUGUUUCAGGUACAUGCCGCAGGCUCUGCAGAAAGCUUCAAGCAGCAGGCCAAAACGACGCGACACCGUCUUGUUGUGCAUUUCAGACCUGUAGACAACACCCCGGAAAUGAUGUGGUGCUUCAUGUGUUCACUUCAAAAGUUAUCUGCCUGCCUUGCUCACUUGAGAUGCCAGAAGAAGAAGUGUCCUAUCCUCUGAUUGGUCAGCGCUUUCUUUAUCAGGAAACGGGCCAGCGGGUUGUCCAGGUACAUCUCAUACUUCAGCACCUGGAAAUACCAUUCCAAAACUUGGCUACAUCCACUUGUGUCCACGGACAGCAACAUACUUCUUCCCGGUGCGCGGAGUGAACCUGGACGAGCUGCAGCAGGUACUGGGACAGCUUGUCGUCCGUCAGACUCUGGACCAGGCAGCGCAGCGCAAACUCUCUUACCACCGGGUCAGGAAAGUUACAGUCCAACAACUCCAGAGCCAGCUCGGGUUCCAUCAGAGGCCACUCCUUCAACAAACAGUACAUCUAAGGGUGGAAGACAUGUGGGCGACGAUGAGUUAAAAAGGGAAAGGUGCUCUGUCACAAAUGUACACUCAUCCCUUGUGUUUGUUUCUCCUACUUGAGAUACUUCAUCUCUGGAAUUCCACUUGACAGAAAGAAGUAACUUCGGAAGAGACUCUGGAAUAUUGACACAGUAAUGUCUGCAAAGAGACAAAAUACAUCUAGACACACUACAGUCAGGAUGACAGAUGUUACUUGGGUCCUCACCUGUGUCUCCACAGGAAGUCCUUCUCUUGUUCAGAGAGUUCAUAGAGAGGAUCUUUACAGCAGAGACAUCGAAGCUGCUCAGCAUCCGCUGCUGAAACGCUGCUGUCACAUGCCAGACGACUGUUCUACAACAGGGAUAGAGACUUUGUCUUUCUGUGUGUUACAAGACUGUGUGUGUGUGUGUGUACACUGUGUGUAUUCUACCAGGCCGUGUGUGUAGUUGAGGCCCAGCUCUCUGCUGAUGGUCCAGUUGGCAUGUUCUUCAAUUUGCUGCUCAUCAGGAAACAUCACCGGCUGGUUGAACCAGGAAAAUUCGAGUUCUACACAAGGCGACUCCUAGAGGUGCAUGCAUCAAGACCAAUUAGUGAACUUAAUUUACUUGUGACGCAGGACGCCGAAACACCUGGUAGUGUACCUUGUUAGGAUUGGAACUGGCCACUCCGAUGGGGUUCAGCAGGUCCUCGAGUCCGUGAGGAACGGGCCACAAACUGAGGGCCACUUUCCCUGACACCAGAAUGUCCUUAUAGUCAAAGAGGUUGACGUUUCCCCAGGCCAGUGGACAAUGUUCCUGACACACAAGUGGACAGAGACUUUAAUUUGCCAUACCUGUAUGAAGGCGUGACAAAGCCGGAGGCGGGAAGCUGUGAGUAGAGACUGUCUUUUGAGACCAGCAUGAGGUGAGGAAGACGACCCACGAUGAUACAGGAGCGGAUGUACUACAGGUGUGCAGACAGGUAGGCAGGUACUCAUCACAGCCACACACCUAAGGAGUAGUAGUGGGUGAGUGAGGCGGUCAUGUGACAGACAGGCGAGAUAAACAUGUUCAAACUGCUGAACUGAUUUUGAUCAUAUCCAGCUUGUAUUCAGCUUAAUCCAUCCAUCCAUUUUCUAUAUCGCUUCUCCUCUUUGAGGGUCGCGGGGACAUGCUGGAGCCUAUCCCAGCUGACUUCGGGCGACAGGCAGGGUACACCCUGGAUUGGUCGCCAGCCAAUCGCAGGGCACAUAGAGACAACCAUUCACACUCACAUUCAUACCUAUGCACAAUUUAGAGUCACCAAUUAACCUCACCUGCAUGUUUUUGGAUGUGUAUUCAGCUUAAUGUGAAGUAAAAACAGCAAAAACUUUUUUUUUUUUUAAACGAGUCUAACCACAUAUGAAAAUGAUUGGAAAUGUGAUUUGAUUUUGUUUUCAGCCUGGAUGCCAUGGUCUGUCCAAGCGGACAUUGGAGCAGGUCACACAUGACCCCGGUGUCUUGUUUGGCACAAUAAAAUCACUGAUUAAAAGAACAACCACAACUUUGACGAUAAUGACAAACCAGUUCCUUCUAGUCAGCACCUAACAACUUACGAGCAUGAGUAUACUGUGGAGUGAGUGAGCGAGCCUGCCAUGUCUUUCACUCGGUGGAUUCUAUUCAGUCUUUCUAUUCAUUUCUUUUAAGAAAGUCCCCCCCGUCAGCUGUCCUUCCAAACCUCCCAUGAAGAACAUCACAAAGACCAUUAGAAGUUUCUUUAAAGCAAAACAAAACAAUGAUGAGUCAAAUAAUAAUAGUAACAAUAAAAAAACAUAAUAAGCAAAUGGCUCUAAACAUGGUGUGUUGUGUGUGUGUGGAAAAAAUCGUUGCAGAGAAAAGAAAGAGAAUAGUGAUUCACAUUUUUUGCAGAAUUGUGCAGCCCUAACAGCGACAUAAAAUUAUGCCACAUGACAGCAUUACGUGUAUGGCUACAUUUGUAUUUUAUUCCCAACUAUUCAUUGGCUUGUUUACAUUCGGCAUUGCAACAUACAGUAUGUACUGACGCCAUACCCGUCAACAUUUACAUUUGGAAAUAAGCGAAACUUUCUGGAAAAUAAGGGACAAUCUGGUCUUUCCACCAGAAUUUCCACUAGCACCACUACACCUAUUCCCUUAUGAGGAACUGGUGGUAACACCAGACUACUUACUGUGGUGCAAUCAUGUUAUUUACUGGCAUGCUUUUGUUUUGAUGGCCUCACUUUACUAGAUACAGGAUGUGUUAAACCGAUGUUGCCCAAAUAAAUAAAAGUUGGGAAACAAUUAUAGGGAAAGAAGCACAAAAUACGUGAGGGACAGGACUGAUGCCUUCGUCAUCAGAAACCCGUGCUAAUUCUGUAGGUCCGACAAGGCAGAGCAGCAGAGCUUCAAUAUCUGAUGUGAUCAACAAAUGUGAUGCAAGGCCAUAUACAGUAGACACGCUGUAGGUCUACCUUCAGGAUGUAUUGGCCCUGAUACUCCUGGACACACAGGCGGAGCUGCUGAGGCGAAAGGUGCAUAGAUCUGCUCUUCUUCCUGAUGGACUCUGCUAUCAGCUGCUCAGGAAGGCUGUCAUGGCUCACCUGUGGAGAAAAGAAUAUUCAUUUGACAGUCCUACUGGAAGUAUCUCCAUGGCAAAAUCUGCAUGACAAUGAAAGUGCUUGCGGGGUCUAGAACCUUUGUCCAGCUUGCUGUAGAUGUGCUGUGGGAGUUGAGGGCUGGACUCCACAUUUGGGGGAUAAACAUAGAGCGCUUGGCUGUGGGCGCCGCCCCCCUCCCGCUCCUCCAUGGCCUCUCUGCACACACUCAGUAUGGCACGACGGAAAUCCUGGACCUCAGGGUCCUUCAUCAUCUCAAACUCACAGACUGGCAUCCCGAUGGCAAAUCCUGCUCACAUGGAAUUUUAGGCGGACUAUACGACUCCUUAUUCUGACUAGUGCUUCAUUUGCACAACCUCUUACCAAUCUCCCGAUUCAAGAUCUUCUCCUCACGGUUUCCCAGGGGCUCGAUCACCUUAAGAAUGGGGUGAAACAGUCGAAGGUCACAUAGCCGCCUCGUUUCGUCAUAAAAUUCCUCCCGUUCUGCUUCCUGGGUCACACCUACAAAGAUGUAGCUGGACUCCUCCUGUUUAGCCGCAGAGCAGAGGUUAUGAUCUGCAGCAGGUGCUGAGGGUUCAUGGGUCAGCCGUACCUGCAGAAGGUGGUAGAGUGGAUACUUCCUGGCCUCGGUGAAAAGCUGCUGUUUGAUACUGAUGAGAGGAGUCUCUCGAAGACACUCCAGACUCACCAUCAUCCCUGCACACAUGACAAGGAGCUCAUUUGAGCGUUGCGUUCUAGAAGACAAGGACACCAGAGAACAGGAAUGACAUCAGCAGCCGUCAAACAUUUCCAGAACGACCUUGUACCAUUGGGAAGGCAGCAGUCCACCAGGAUGCGUGGGGGCAUCAGAUGGAGACCCCAUAGUUCCCCUGACGACGGUCUGGGAGCCAUGAUAACUGCCUCAACUCAGGCUCCUGGGGACAGACAGGUGGACGCAUUAAUAUCAUGGUCUCCACUUUAAUGUGGACCCUUUUGAGGCUUAUAGCAUGGAAAUAAAGUUUCCUGAAACCUAAAUGUUACAUGAAGACGUGUUUCUUCAUUCCUUCAGCUUCCAUUCUUGUCUUCACAU